rnacentral:misc_RNA from 1 species
GAAAUGCGAUACGUAAUGCGAAUUGCAGAAUUCAGUGAAUCAUCAAAUUUUUGAACGCAAAUUGCGCUUUCUGGAUAGGCCAGGGAGCAUGCUUCUUUGAGCAUCGUUUCUACCCCAUCUCGACAGCUCUGCUGUUGGAGAAUGAGAUGUCUCAUUUUUUUAUUUCUUCAAAAAAAUAAAAAUGAUGAGUCUCUUUAAGAAGCGUGAGUUUUUCCUAAACUCCUAGUAAUUCUUAAAUUACUGGUGACAUGGAUAAAAUUUUUUAUUUUAUGUUGCUAGGAAAUAAGAAUAUGGAAAUCUGGAAUUUUAAACUCGUUCAGAAAAUUAUAUAAUAUAAUAUUUUUUUGAAUUAGAUCUCAAAUGAAGUAAGAGUACCCGCUGAACUUAA